UUUGAUUAGUUUUUCUUUUAGUGUAAUACCUCUCUGCUGAUUUUCAUUGUUGUUUUUUAUUUCCUCUUCAUAGACUAUUUUGCCAAAGAUGUUCUGUAGUGCAGGUUUUCUAAUUGUAAAUUCUUUGAACUUUUGUUUAUCAUGGAAGGUUUUUAUUUCAUCAUCAAAUCUAAAGCUUGAUUUUGCUGGAUACAAGAUUCUUGGUUGGCAUUUAUUUUCUCAAAGCUUGAUUUUGUUCCAGGAUCUUCUAGCUAUCAGGGUCUUGGUUAAAAAAUUUGUCCACAACCUAAAUGGUUUCCUUGUAUAUGCAAUCUGAGUAUUUUCUCUUGUGGAUUUUAAUACUCUCUCCUUAUUUGGUAUGUUAGGCAUUUUUCAUUAUAAUGUGCCUUGGUGUGGAUCUCUUGUGAUUUUGUACAUUUGGCAUCCUAUAAGCCUCUUGGAUUUGGUUUUCCAAUUCAUUCUUCAUGUUUAGAAAUUUUUAUGAUAUUAUUUCAUUGAAUAGAUUGUUCAUUCCUUUGGUUUGGAACUCUAUACCUUCCUCUAUCCCAAUAACUCUUAAAUUUGGUCUUUUUAUACUAUUCCAUAUUUCUUGAAUGUUCUACUCAUUUUUUUAAAACCAUUUUCACUGUGUGGUCUACAUUCUUUUCAAGAUUAUAUAUUUGGUCUUCAUUGUCUGAGGUCCUGUCUUCCAAGUGGUCUAAUCUGUUGAUGAUGCUUUCAAUUGAACUUUUAAUUUGAUUUAUUAUUUCUUUCAUGUCAAGGAUUUCUGUUUGGUAUUUCUUUAGAACCUCUAUCUCCCUAUUUAAGUAAUCUUUUGCUUCUUGUAUUUGUUUAUGUAGUUCUUUGUUGAAAUGAUUUUUUGCUGCCUGUGUUUGCACUCUUAUAUCAUACUUUAAUUCACAGAGUAUUUUAAUUAUGUAUAUCCUAAACUCCUUCUCUCUCAUUUCAUCUGCUGUGCUGGCCAUGGAUUCUAAUAAUGUGGUAUCUUUAUUUGUUUGGAGCACUUUCCUCCCUUGUCUUUUCAUGUUGCUCAUGUGUCUUCCCUUCUAGCAUUGUGGAUCCAAGGCAUUACCAUUUGUACCCUAUAGGCUUAUAGUGCCCCUGUAGGGUUCCAAUAUCUCUCCUUUGAGGAGUAAGACAAUGUUAACAGAUCCCAAUAAAAAUAAUAUACCACAUAAAACAACUUGUUGUCAAUAGACAUUUACAGUUUAGUCACAAGGUACAGAGAUGGUGAAUUCAAUUAUUAGCUAGAAUAUUAUCAGUAGGUUUGUAAAAGGGUUUACAGUUUCUGAUGGUGGACAAAGACUGGGGGUGAGGUGUAGGAAGAUAUUCUGAGGAGGUAGGAGGUGAAGAUAUAGAGUUAUUAUAUAUUAGGAAGUGUGAGAGAGAAAUCUAAAGAAGAAAGUCAGUAGCAGGAGAAUAGAAAGAAAGUAAUUUUGUGUAGACAAGUAAGAGGGAAGACAGUAGAGUGCAUAAAACAAACACAUAUGUACAAAGAAAAAUAAAAAAUGUUAAAAUUGUAAAAAUUGGAGGAAAAGAAACAAAAAUAAAAGAAUAUACAACACAACUGUAAUAUACUAUUCAGUUGUCUCAGACCUCAAUAUCCUAAUUCAUGCAAAGUACUUGGUUUCACAUAUGUUGGGGAUGUGAGGGCGGGA
rnacentral:lncRNA from 1 species